AAAGAUUUAUCGGAGAAGGAUCAGCCCGCGUUAGAUUAGAUAGUUGGUGGGGUAAUGGCCUACCAAGUCUACGAUCUAUAGCUGGUUUUAGAGGAUGAUCAGCAACACUGGGACUGAGACACGGCCCAGACUCCUACGGGAGGCAGCAGUGGGGAAUCUUAGACAAUGGGCGAAAGCCUGAUCUAGCGAUGCCGCGUGAGUGAUGAAGGUCUUAGGAUCGUAAAGCUCUUUCGCCAGGGAUGAUAAUGACAGUACCUGGUAAAGAAACCCCGGCUAACUCCGUGCCAGCAGCCGCGGUAAUACGG
rnacentral:rRNA from 1 species